GAUGAAGAACGCAGCGAAAUGCGAUAAGUAAUGUGAAUUGCAGAAUUCAGUGAAUCAUCGAAUCUUUGAACGCACAUUGCGCCCCUUGGUAUUCCGAGGGACAUGCCUGUUCGAGCGUCAUUACACCACUCAAGCACUGCUUGGUAUUGGGCAUCGUCCGUCGAAAGGCGGGCGUGCCUCGAAGACCUCGGCGGGGUUUCUCCAACUUCGGGCGUAGUAGAGUUAAAUCGAACGUCUUAUAAGCUUGGUGGGACUCCAUUGCCGUUAAACCUUUUAUUUUCUAGGUUGACCUCGGAUCAGGUAGGGAUACCCGCUGAACUUAAGCAUAUCAAUAAGCGGAGGA
rnacentral:misc_RNA from 1 species